GUCGGUCUGUCCGUCUCUCCUCUAGAGAACCAGGUCUGUCUGUCCGUCUCUCCUCUAGAGAACCAGGUCGGUCUGUCCAUCUCUCCUCUAGAGAACCAGGUCGGUCUGUCCGUCUCUCCUCUAGAGAACCAGGUCUGUCUGUUCGUAUCUCCUCCAGAGAACCAGGUCUGUCUGUUCGUAUCUCCUCCAGAGAACCAGGUCUGUCUGUUCGUAUCUCCUCCAGAGAACCAGGUCUGUCUGUCUGUUCGUCUCUCCUCCAGAGAACCAGGUCUGUCUGUCCGUCUCUCCUCUAGAGAACCAGGUCUGUCUGUCCAUCUCUCCUCUAGAGAAGCAGGUCUGUCUGUCUGUCCGUCUCUCCUCUAGAGAACCAGGUCUGUCUGUCCGUCUCUCCUCUAGAGAGCCAGGUCUGUCUGUCCGCCUCUCCUCUAGAGAACCAGGUCUGUCUGUCCGCCUCUCCUCUAGAGAACCAGGUCUGUCUGUCCGCCUCUCCUCUAGAGAACCAGGUCUGUCUGUCCGCCUCUCCUCUAGAGAACCAGGUCUGUCUGUCCGCCUCUCCUCUAGAGAACCAGG
ensembl:lncRNA